UUCUGUCUUGGACAAGCAAUUGGAAGAGGUCAGGAGCAGUUUGCAUGCUGAAAUUGCAGAAGUACGUGCAGAGAAGGAGACAGCUCUAUCAGAGUUACAUAUGUCUCAGACUUCCAUCAGGAACUUAGAGAGUGUGGUAGAAAAGCAAACUGAGAACAUUUUAACUCUAGAAAAAGCUAAUGAUAAGUUAAACAAUAAAAUAUGUAUCUUGACAGAGCAAGUAGAACAAGCCAAGGCUGAGCUGCAUAAGGAGGUAGCGGCAAUACAAGAAGAGAAGGAUACAGCACUAACACAAUUAAGACAGUCAGAGUUUUCAAUACAAGAUCUUGAGAAUGAGGUGACACGACUGAAAGACGAACUUUCAAUUCAGCUGGAAAAAAAUUCCACCUUGGACAAGCAAUUUGAAGAAUUCAAGAGCAAGCUGCAUGCUGAAAUUUUAGACCUACGCGCAGAGAAGGACACAUCUCUAUUGGAGUUACAGACAUCUCAGGAUUCUGUAAGGAAUCUUGAGAUUCUGGUUGAAAAGCAAACUGAGAACAUUUCAACUCUGCACCAAGCUAAUGAUGAGUUACAGAAGAACAUCUACACUUUGACUGAGCAAUCACAACAAGCCAAGGAGGAGAUGCAGGAUGAGUUGAAGGCAAUACAAGAAGAGAAGGAUACAGUGCUAACACAACUGAAGCAGUCAGAGACUUCAGUACAAAAUCUAGAGGAUGAGGUGACACGACUGAAAGAGGAACUUUCCGUCCAGCUAGAAAACAAUUCCACCUUGGACAAGCAGUUUGCAGAAGCUAGGAGCAAUCUGCAUGCUGAAAUUUCAGACCUACGUGCAGAGAAGGGCACAUCUCUACUGGAGUUACAGAUGUCUCAGGCUUCUGUCAGGAAUCUUGAGAUUUUGGUCGGAAAGCAAACUGAGAACAUUUCAACUCUACAGCAAGCUAAUGAAGAGUUACAAAAGAACAUCUACACUUUGACUGAGCAAUCACAACAGGUCAAGGUGGAGAUGCAAAGUGAUUUGAAGGCAAUACAAGAAGAGAAGAAUGCGGUGCUAUCACAACUGAAGCAGUCAGAAACUUCAGUACAAAAUCUUGAGAAUGAGGUGAUACGACUGAAAGAGGAGCUUUCUGUCCAGCUAGAAAACAAUUCCACCUUGGACAAGCAGUUUGAAGAAGCCAGGAGCAAUCUGCAUGCUGAAAUUUCAGAGCUACGUGCAGAUAAGAACACAUCUCUAUUGAAAUUACAGACGUCUCAGGAUUCUGUCAGGAAUCUUGAGAUUGUGGUUGAAAAGCAAACUGAGAACAUUUCAACUCUACAGCAAGCUAAUGAUGAGUUACAGAAGAACAUCUACACUUUGACGGAGCAAUCACAACGAGACAAGGCGGAGAUGCAGGAUGAGUUGAAGGCAAUACAAGAAGAUAAGGAUGCAGUGCUAACACAACUGAAGCAGUCAGAGACUUCAGUACAAAAUCUAGAGGAUGAGUUGACACGACUGAAAGAGGAGCUUUCCGUCCAGCUAGAAAACAAUUCCACCUUGGACAAGCAGUUUGCAGAAGCCAGGAGCAAUCUGCAUGCUGAAAUUUCAGACCUACAUACAGAGAAGGACACAUCUCUACGGGAAUUACAGACGUCUCAGGCUUGUGUCAGGAAUCUUGAGAUUGUGGUUGAAAAGCAAACUGAGAACAUUUCAACUCUACAGCAAGCUAAUGAUGAAUUACAGAAGAAUGUCUAUACUUUGACUGAGCAAUCACAGCAAGCCAAGGUGGAGAUGCAGGAUGAGUUGAAGUCAAUACAAGAAGAGAAGGAUGCAGCGCUAACACAACUGAAGCUGUCAGAGACUUCAGUACAAAAUCUUGAGAAUGAGGUGACACGACUGAAAUGGGAGUUCUCCGUCCAGCUAGAAAACAAUUCCACCUUGGACAAGCAGUUGGAGGAGGCAAUGUUGAAAGUGUCUAGCCUACAUGAGAAUCUUGAGAAGGCCCAAGCUGAAGCAGCUUGUCAACUUGAUGGCAUGAGUACAAAAACCAAAGAUCUAGAGGAGACAAUCAAUCAAUUGUCUUCUCAAAAGACUAAGUUGGAGAAGGAUGUGAAAAUUAUGAUUGAAGCAUGCACAGAAAACAUGUCAUGUUUGGCAGGAUUUGAAGAUAGAGUUACACAAAAAAUUUCAGAUCAGGAGGCAGGACUGAAGGUUCUCCACCAGAGCCUUGGAGGGGCUGUUGGUAGCUGUCAGAGGCUUCAGUAUGCAUAUGAUGAGGUGUCCACAAGGGCAUCACAUCUUGAGAUACUUAAGAGGAGUCAGAUGGAGCAGAUUGAUCAGCUAGAGCAGAAAAACACAGAAACUGUGGAGAAACAUCGGCUUCUGGAAGAGGAAAAGUUAUCUGCAAAUAAGGAGAAUAUUAAGCUACAAAAGCAUGUCCAAGACCUUGAAGUUCAGCUCCAGCUAGCAAAGCAGAAGCUUAAAGUUACUGAGGCAGAAAGCAAAUGCAAAGAAGAGAGAUAUGAAGCGUCAGUGGAAGCACUGCGGGCAGAGAUCUGUCAUCUUGAACAAUUAGUACAGCAGUUUUCAGGGAGAGUCAGCUUGCUGGAAGGAACUCUCAUGCAGGUUAAAGGACAUGCUGAGUCAGUGGUCUGUAAAUGGGCUGACAAAUUGGAUGAGCUAGAAACAAUCUGCAGUCAGAAUUUUGUGCUCUUCAUUGACCGCUCAUCUGCAUGUAGUGACGAGCUUAAAAUCCUGAGGAAGAAGGUACAUGAUCAUCUUAAUGAACAGAAGGAACUUGCCAAUGCGAACAACGAGCUGGCUAUUAGGUUCAAAGAGAAAGAAAUGGUGGUGUCAGAAAUGGUGAAGAGUGCUGCUGAGGCACAGACAAAGAUGCUCCAGCUCCAGAAGACGGUGGACGAGAAAGAAGACGAGCUAGCAGCUAGAGUGCAGGAGAAGAGAGAAGCCAUCAAGCAACUGAGCGACACCAUUGUUUACCACAAGAACUAUAGCGAUGACCUGGUGCGCUACAUCCGCAGUCAGAGUCGCCCUCGCCUCCCGUUCUGCCUUUAAAUCUGAAAGUCAAUGAAAGAUGUAAAGGCUUAAUCUAGCUGUGAUUUUUUUUUUUUGCAGUAAGGAGACCAUUGCAAUUUUUCUUAUGUAUCAUAUAUAGGGCUCGAAUACUUUCUGGAGGUAGCCAUAUAUUCAGUGGCUUGUGUAUUCUAUUCGCUACUAAGGGGACUGCUGUAGUAAUUGAUUUAUUCGUUUUGCCUUAUCUUUUUUAUCGGAUCGGUGAAUAUACUGCCUGAGACUGCGAAGGAAGGCUCAAGAAAUAUCCAGGUUUGCAGUUUUCUAUCCAAAUUCGCACAGGUAAGUAACGGCUUGUAAAGAAUCUUUGCCAAACAUUUUUGCUGUUCAUGGCAGAUUGUAGGAUUGUCUUUGUUCUUCUUCAGUUCUGGUUCAGAUUAGUCCCCUGCAAAUUCACCAUGCAUUUAAGUUUAUUUAUAUUUAAACUCUCCUCAUCUUGGAGCCUUUUGUAAUUUGAUUGCUAAAAGGCGAAUGAAAACUAUCACCAGAUCCGUCAUUGGCUGCACUUUAUCAGAAGUCAAGCCUGUAGGGUGAGUUUCUAGUAACUUUAUAUGCAGUUCUUAGAAGUAAUUUUCUAUGCACUUUAUAUAAGUAAUUUCCUAUGCAGACUUCGGUUGACAAAUGGUAGCCACUAUGCAGUUUUGCCAGCAAUCAUCCCCGCCGUUCAGGUUUAGACACAGUUCCAAUUUCUUACUGUUCCGACGCUUAACAGUGUACUGAUGGAUACUUAUGCCAUAAGCCCGGUGACCGAGUCCGAGUUUAUUGGGGCGGGGUCGUAGGCGUACCUGAAACUGCGUUGCACCAGUGCAGUCACUGGCUUGUGACGAGCUCUCUGUAGGGUCAUCUUGCGCCAACGCGGAGCGCGCAUCAUGGUGGCAAACGCACGCCAUCGCAGGCAAGGCUCCGGGCGCCGGCGGCGCGCGUGCUGGGAGAGCGCAACGGCUGCGUGAAGCGGAGAGACACAGGUAACGAAGACACAAGCCAGCGACGGAGGCGGUCGCGCGCGGAGCAUGGCAAAGGUGAGCAGGGAGGCGACGGAGCCCCCCGCCGCGCCGGUCACGGCUGGUGCCGCCGUGUGCUUGCAGACCGGUGCCGCUACCACAGUCCACAGCCCCCGCUGGUGCGUUGCUGUUCUCCUAUUGCGCCGCUACCACAGUCCACAGCCCAUCUACACGAACUUGGCUUGGUGGGUUCGUAGCCACAACAGGCCCAUACUUG
rnacentral:lncRNA from 1 species